UACGUAGGGAGCAAGCGUUGUCCGGAAUCAUUGGGCGAUAAAGCGCGCGUAGGCGGCCCUGUAAGUCCGUUGUGAAAGUCAAAGGCUCAACCUUUGAAAGCCGAUGGAUACUGCAGGCUGGAGUCCGGAAGAGGCGAGUGGAAUUCCUGGUGUAGCGGUGGAAUGCGCAGAUAUCAAGGAGGAACACCAAUAGCGAAGGCAGCUCGCUGGGACGGUACUGACGCUGAGGCGCGAAAGCGUGGGGAGCGAACAGGAUUAGACAUACCCGUGUA
rnacentral:rRNA from 1 species